rnacentral:rRNA from 1 species
GAUGAACGCUAGCGGCAGGCUUAACACAUGCAAGUCGAGGGGUAUUAUGUUUUCGGACAUAAGAGACCGGCGCACGGGUGCGUAACGCGUAUGCAAUCUACCUUUUACAGGAGUAUAGCCCGGAGAAAUCCGGAUUAAUCCUCCAUAGUAUUAUAGAGUGGCCUCAUUUUAUAAUUAAAGCUACGGCGGUAAGAGAUGAGCAUGCGUCUUAUUAGCUGGUUGGUGUGGUAACGGCAUACCAAGGCAACGAUAAGUAGGGGUUCUGAGAGGGAGCACCCCCACACUGGUACUGAGACACGGACCAGACUCCUACGGGAGGCAGCAGUGAGGAAUAUUGGACAAUGGGUGAGAGCCUGAUCCAGCCAUGCCGCGUGCAGGAUGACGGCCUUAUGGGUUGUAAACUGCUUUUCUGGAGGAAGAAUAAUAUCGAUUAUUCGAUAGAUGACGGUACUUCAGGAAUAAGCAUCGGCUAACUCCGUGCCAGCAGCCGCGGUAAUACGGAGGAUGCAAGCGUUAUCCGGAAUUAUUGGGUUUAAAGGGUCCGCAGGCGGGAAAUUAAAUCAGUGGUGAAAUGCACCGGCUCAACCGGGAGAAUUGCCAUUGAUACUGAUAUC